UACGAAGGGGGGCUAGCGUUGCUCGGAAUCACUGGGCGUAAAGGGUGCGUAGGCGGGUCUUUUAAGUCAGGGGUGAAAUCCUGGAGCUCAACUGCCAGAACUGCCUUUGAUACUGAGGAUCUUGAGUUCGGGAGAGGUGAGUGGAACUGCGAGUGUAGAGGUGAAAAUUCGUAGAUAUUCGCAAGAACACCAGUGGCGAAGGCGGCUCACUGGCCC
rnacentral:rRNA from 1 species